ACUGUGAGGUCCUAUGAGCAAACAUUAUGGUACAGACUUUCUGACACUCCCACUAACCACCACCCUAAAUAACAUAUGCUACUACAUCAGCCCCUCUCCUUUCACCUCAGGGCUUCAUCCAGGAGACACUCAUAUCUCUCCUCCACUGAGGAAACAUAUUCAUCUUCUCCAUCAAGUCUUCUUCACUAUGAUCAGAGUUCUGAUUCACCUGGCAGCUCUACCACUCUGGGUCACAGGGCAGUCGCUUAGCACCGAAGUCCAUCAGACUCCUAUUGCAAUACUGAAAGGAUCUAAAGAUAAUGUACAACUCACCUGCAACCAUGCUAUUCAAAACUACAAUACAAUACUGUGGUACCAACAGUCAACAGGAGACCCUGCUAUGAAACUCAUUGGUUAUGUAUAUGCCGAGUCAAUAACCAUGGAGAAAUCAUUUGAAAAGCACUUCAAUGUGAGUGGAAAUGGUAGGAAAGAGGCUUAUCUUCAUCUACUGAGUCUGAGAGCACCUGAAGACAGUGCAGUAUAUUACUGUGCAGCCAGCCAACACAGUGAUGUAGAGAACCUCCUCUCCUCUACAAAAACCCUGUCUGAUAGAAAACUAUGAGCAGUGAUCACAACACCUGUAUCUGAGGUUGGAGUUUGGUUCAGAGCCAAUGAAUAAAGAGAUGGAUUACAGCAUCAGCAAGUUGAUCGUAUCUGGCCUAGUACAGUAUAACAGUAUUUACAAAUUAGUGUCAUUACUAAUUAACAUAAUAUAUGUUGUUACAAUGUCAUAUCCUGUUUCUCUAGACAUUUGGGGACCUAAGUGAGAUUUGGCUGGGGGACCCCCAUCCUGACUACAAAACAUUUUAAUGAUCAACCUCAUGACUGGAGAGACAUUUUUUAUUGUUGUUUUAAAGUACAUUUCCUACAAUUCUAUUUUGACAUGGGGAGUACAGAACAUGUUGAUAUAUUAAAGGGCCGGUG
rnacentral:lncRNA from 13 species